rnacentral:lncRNA from 1 species
UAAAAAGAAAACGAGAGGGAGAAAGAAGGAGAAAAAAGUGAGAGAGCGAGAAAGGAAGGAGAGAGAGAAAGAAAGGAGAGGAAGUAAGAGAGAAAUGAAUGAGAGAGAGAGAGGAAGGAGGAUAAAAAGAAAACGAGAGGAAGAAAGAAGGAGAAAAAAGCCAGAGAGCAAGAAAAGAAAGAGAGAGAAAAAGAAAGGAGAGGAAGAAAUAGAGAAAUGAAAGAGUGAGAGAGAGGAAGAAGGAUAAAAAGAAAACGAGAGGGAGAAAGAAGGAGAAAAAAGCGAGCGAGUGAGAAAUGAAAGAGAGAGAAAAAGAAAGGAGAGGAAGAAAGAGAGAAAUGAAAGAGUGAGAGAGAGGAAGAAGGAUAAAAAGAAAACGAGAGAGAGAAAGAAGGAGAAAAAAGCGAGAGAGUGAGAAAAGAAAGAGAGAGAAAAAGAAAGGAGAGGAAGAAAGAGAGAAAUGAAAGAGUGAGAGAGAGGGAGUAAGAAGGAGAAAAAAGUGAGAGAUCGAGGAAAGAAAGAGAGAGAGAAAGAAAGGAGAGGAAGAAAGAGAGAAAUGAAAGAGUGAGAGAGAGAGGGAG